CAUGUGGGUGGACUAGCAACUUGUCAGAGCUCGGUGGAAGAAAGGGAGCGGUAUUUCUAUUACCAUAUGCAAGGAUAAUUGAAUAAGAGAGUUCAGUAUUGUGCAAGAAGUGAAAUGAGAGGAUGUAGGAAUUGAAUUUGCUGCAUUCUCUGUUUCAAAUUCAAUCAGCAAUUAUCCCUUUAUGUAGCCAUAGAACCAAGAGAGAAAGUAGAUGAGAAGAUCAUCCAUCAUCCAAAUGAGGAAAUUUACUUCUUCCCUGGUUCUACUGCUGUCCUGCCCAGAGAGGGGUGGAGGUAAUCUCCUUGACUGCCCUUGAUGUCAAAGGUGCUUUAUGACUCCCAACGAAGAAUAUGCUGGCUGCAAGUGACGUGAAUAAGCGGCGGUUUGACCUUCCUGGUAUCAGGUGGACCACGUGAAGACAGACCUUUACCCUCCAGUCAACUUCCAAACACCUCGCGAAAGGCAAAAUGCCCACUUCAGUCAUGUCCGCCGCUGAUCAUUAAUUGCUUCAGAAAAAGACAAUAUUUUAUCCGUCCUCUUUGGAGUUCGAGUGCGAAUGGCGAAGCAAAAGAGAGUGAAACUGAGUGAAACAUGAAAAGCUUGAUUUGUUAGGACCCCUGCUGCCUGAAAAGAGAUCAAAGCUCAGGAGGAGGCUGUAAAACAGCCAACUGCACCGCACAGAAGCGUGGCCCGUGGCAGCUGCUCUGGGCAGGCUCUCCCAACACAGGUGUACCUCCAGGUCUGCUCUGCCAGCUCCAUCACGGGAGCCCGGUACCUCUUCUCCCGCUUCAUUAUUUCAACGGCAGUCACCGAGGAGAUGUGGGCUCCAUCCAUCACAAUGCACAAAUUCACAGUGCGCAGAUUCAGCACAGGCCUAAUUAAAGCUUUUCCUUUCAUUUGUGGAGAUAAUUAGACUUUCAUCUCACCAGGAAGCUUCAGAAAGAUCUAUUUCUUUCUUCAAUAAAAGC